UACAGAGGGUGCGAGCGUUGUCCGGAGUUACUGGGCGUAAAGGGCACGCAGGCGGUGCGGCGCGUUUCGCGUGACAGCGGAGGGCUUAACUCUCCGAGGAUGCGAAAGACGGCGGCACUUGAGGGCCAGAGAGGGACACGGAAUUCCGGGUGGAGUGGUGAAAUGCGUAGAGAUCCGGAGGAACACCGAAGGCGAAGGCAGUGUCCUGGCUGGUGACUGACGCUGAGGUGCGAAAGCUAGGGGAGCGAACGGG
rnacentral:rRNA from 1 species